rnacentral:rRNA from 1 species
CUUGACUGUAUCCUGGAAUUGGGUUCGGGCUUUUCUUGCGCAGUCUAGGUGGGAGGCUAUGAAGAUUUCCUUCCGGGGAAGUUGGAGCCAUCAGUGAGAUACCACUCUAUCAAGGCUAGAAUUCUAACGUUGACCCGUUAUCCGGGCAGCGGACAGUAUCAGGUGGGCAGUUUGACUGGGGCGGUCGCCUCCUAAAUGGUAACGGAGGCGCGCAAAGGUUCCCCCAGGCUGGUUGGAGAUCAGCCAACGAGUGUAAAGGCAUAAGGGAGCUUGACUGCGAGACUGACAAGUCGAGCAGGUACGAAAGUAGGCCUUAGUGAUCCGACGGUUCCGCGUGGAAGGGCCGUCGCUCAACGGAUAAAAGUUA